rnacentral:rRNA from 1 species
UACAAUGGCGUAAACAAAGGGAGGCGAAGUGGUGACAUGGAGCGAAUCCCAAAAAUAACGUCCCAGUUCGGAUUGUAGUCUGCAACCCGACUACAUGAAGCUGGAAUCGCUAGUAAUCGCGGAUCAGAAUGCCGCGGUGAAUACGUUCCCGGGUCUUGUACACACCGCCCGUCACACCAUGGGAGCCGGUAACGCCCGAAGUCAGUGACCCAACCGUAAGGAGGGAGCUGCCGAAGGCGGGACAGGUAACUGGGGUGAAGUCGUAACAAGGUACC